UACGUAGGGUGCGAGCGUUGUCCGGAAUUAUUGGGCGUAAAGAGCUCGUAGGCGGUUUGUCACGUCACCUGUGAAACCUCUAGGCUCAACCUAGAGCCUGCAGGCGAAACUGCCGUGCUUGAGGGUGGGAGAGGUGCGUGGAAUUCCCGGUGUAGCGGUGAAAUGCGUAGAUAUCGGGAGGAACGCCUGUGGCGAAAGCGGCGCACUGGACCACAUCUGACGCUGAGGCGCGAAAGCUAGGGGAGCAAACAGG
rnacentral:rRNA from 1 species